AGACGAAGACAGGAAGACAGGAACACUUUUCUCUGCUUUUCCCGUAAUCUCUGCAUGUGUUCGGAGGGCAGUCACUAAAGGCUGGCUGAAGGAGUGAUGCAAACUUUUGAUGGAUGGAAAGCAUAAUUUCAGUGAAGAGGGAAGAAAAUACAACCAAGAGUCACUAAACUACAUGGAUAUAAGCUUGAAGCUGCAGGUGGCCAUCAACUCUUGAGGGCAUCCUGGGCCUGAAAAUGAAGCUAACAUAAAGGGAAACAAAACUGAGGC